rnacentral:rRNA from 1 species
UACAGAGGUCUCAAGCGUUUGUUCGGAUUCAUUGGGCGUAAAGGGUGCGUAGGUGGCGCGCUAAGUCAGGUGUGAAAUUUCGGAGCUUAACUCCGAAACUGCAUUUGAUACUGGUGUGCUUGAGGACUGGAGAGGAGACUGGAAUUUACGGUGUAGCAGUGAAAUGCGUAGAGAUCGUAAGGAAGACCAGUGGCGAAGGCGGGUCUCUGGACAGUUCCUGACACUGAGGCACGAAGGCCAGGGGGAGCAAACGGG